UACGGAGGGUGCGAGCGUUGUCCGGAAUUAUUGGGCGUAAAGGGCUCGUAGGCGGUUCGUCACGUCGGGAGUGAAAACUCGGAGCUUAACUCCGAGCCUGCUUCCGAUACGGGCAGACUAGAGGUAGGCAGGGGAGAGCGGAACUCCUGGUGUAGCGGUGGAAUGCGCAGAUAUCAGGAAGAACACCGGUGGCGAAGGCGGCUCUCUGGGCCUUACCUGACGCUGAGGAGCGAAAGUGUGGGGAGCGAACAGG
rnacentral:rRNA from 1 species